CAAUUCCUCAGUGCGCAAGCGCAGUAGUUGUUUCGCGUGUUGAGCGUCGCCAUCAUGCAAAAUCAGGGCACAAUGGAGGAGGGCCAGCCACGAACUCUGUAUGUUGGGAAUCUGGACACCUCCGUCUCAGAAGCGCUUUUGAUAGCGUUGUUCGGUCAGAUCGGCCCGUGUAAAAGCUGCAAGAUUAUACACGAGGCUGGCAACGACCCCUACGCCUUCGUGGAGUUCUACGACCAUCACUCCGCAGCAGCAGCUCUCGCUGCCAUGAACAAGAGAAUGUGCAUGGGCAAGGAGAUGAAGGUGAACUGGGCCUCGUCCCCAAGCCUGCAGCCGAAGAUGGACACCAGCAAGCACUACCAUAUUUUUGUGGGGGACCUCAGCCCGGACAUAGAGCAACAUCAACUGCGAGAUGCCUUCAGAGUCUUUGGCGAAAUAUCGGACUGUAAGAUCAUCCGAGAUCCACAAACGCUGAAAUCCAAAGGCUACGGAUUCGUGUCCUUCAUCCAGAAAGUGGACGCUGAAACAGCCAUCAACAAUAUGAACGGACAGUGGCUAGGGUCACGACCGAUCCGGACAAACUGGGCCACGCGAAAACCGCCAGCUCCAACUCCGAAAGAAACAGGUGUAAAGCAGUUGUCCUAUGAGGAAGUCUACAACCAGAGCAGCCCUACAAACUGUACCGUGUACUGUGGGGGCGUCACCAACGGACUGACAGAGGAUGCCAUCCGUGAAGCAUUCAAGCGGUUUGGAACUAUUCAGGAAAUACGUGUGUUCAAAGACAAAGGCUACGCUUUUAUCAGAUUUGCAACAAAGGAGGCAGCGACCACAGCAAUCUGCCAAGUCCAUGGUACUACUAUAUUGGAUCAGACUGUCAAGUGCUCUUGGGGCAAAGAGUCUAAUGACCCCAGUCAGACCCCACAGCCUGCGGUUCAGCAGGCUUCUUUGGGCGCCCAGCCAUACGGGCAGUUCUACAACAUGGGUGCUGCCACCUACUGGAAUGGUGCCUACCCCAGCACCUAUGGCACCAUGGGGCCUGCUGCCGCUCAGGGUCAGUACCUGCAGGCGGGUGGAAUGGGGCAGUGGCAGCCAACCUACCCUAGCAACUAUCAGGCGGCUUACGGGAGUGUCAACAUGCAGUGGGGUCAGGUGCCGCUCCAGCCCAGCCAACAGCAGUUCAGCCAGCAGCAGGGACUUGUCGCCUACCCCAUGCAGCAGGAUGGCUCAGUUGAAUAUUAGCGUGUUGAAAGGGAUUCCCCACACAAGGGCCACGGCCAAACGCGUUAAAGGCAUUCUGGUUCCUGGGACAGUGACCUUCAUGUAGACUAGCUAGCGACAUGGGCUCAACACAGCGCGGCCACGCCCCUCCCCUCUUCUCUCCGUGCCCUUUCCCUGGCCUCGGUACCUGCAGCCGUGGCGACAGAGAGCGAGUGCGGACGGCCAGCGAGGUUGCGGGUGGCCAGCAUGGAAACAGCAUGUGCAGGAUCCGACUGACCUUGUGUGUACAUAAACCAUCUGUCGUAUCUAAUGUCACUUUUCUGAAGCAUGGAGUUGUGGACUUCACAUGAUGAUGCUGUGUUUGGGGCUUGGGUUGGGUGGUGGGGGCUUGCAGAAAGUUUAUAUCUGAUGUGGGGUGGGGUGGGAACGGCGAAUCGUUUGGGGUGCGAGGGUGUUGUAUUAUAUAAUGACAUUUAUAAUGAUGAUUGUUUCUGUGUCUCGACUGGCGGUGAGGGGCUGGUUAAAUGCAAGCACUUUUCCCAUUCUGUACAUACAAAUCCAGAUGUGUAGCUAGUGUUUAGAUGUAUGACGACCAUGUGGCUCUCGGAAAAAAAUGUAUGUGGAUAAAUGACGUGUUACAAACUAUUAAAAAAACUGACAAAAUUUCAAAAAAAAUUAAUCUGGAAAUGUGUUUGUGUGUGACUUCAUGGUUUAGCCAUAUGACAAUGUCCAGUGUGUAGACUUUAGAGGACUGUUGUCGGGCAACACCGAAUGUUUUUGAAAUGUAUUUUGUCACGGACGGUGUGGCUGUAACUCGCAGUGACCAACGCGAGAAUCCACCAUGCCAACGCAGCGGCCUGGACACGCACGGACGAUCAGAGGGAAGGGAAGCUACUCCAUAGUCAUUUUUCUUUAAAUUACUGUCGUUGCAAUCCUUUAAGCCUCCUCGCGGCCAUAGAAAUCUCGUAAUCCUUUUAGGACCAUAUAAACGCCCCUUUCAAUUUUUUAGAAAAUAAAUCUUAACUGCACUUCUGAAACUGUUACCUCUAACAUUUGCAUUCCAGGACAGUCGCGAUUUUAGUGCGACCUUUUUUGGUUUAGGGGUGGGGAUGUAGGCCUGCUGAAAAUUAAAAGGCAAGACCGUUCUUAGCCAGACAAAUACGACUAAAAUGUUGCGAGUUCAGCAAGUUUUUUGAAAUUAACAAAACGUUACCAAACAUGCUUGAAUGUUUGUCUUUAUUUGUCCGCUAAGAAGGGUCUUCAUGGAGUAGCGAGUGAACCUUGUGCAUGGUCUGCAAGAAGAGUUGUGCUUGCAGGAGAGUAAAGGCGUCGGACAAAUGGAGUUUUUCUGGGUAGCACUAGAACUAACCAACCACCAUCAGCAGGCACCUGACUUCUUCUCUGUGGUGCGUCCAGGUUGCAAGUUGGCCAGAUUUUUUUAAAUAUAUAUAUAUGAAAUGUACUGCACACAAGUUCCUUCACUGUAAAUUAUGGCUCAUUGCAGCGAGGUGCAUAUUGGUUACAUUUGUUUUUGUCUGUCCUUUGUUUUCUCUCCCCCUCAACCCCGUUUGUAACAAUUUAAAUGAAAGCAGCUGUCUGCGUGAUGUACGAUAGAGAAACUAUAUUUGAUACGCCCAUGAUGCGUCGAAGUGCAUGCAUGAUCUGUGUAUGAUAAGGACAUGUCAGGCUAAAAUCCUGUUGGUCUGUGGCGCAGCGUUAAAUGGAGUCUGUCCAUGUGUGAGGUCCUUGCAUAGCCAUUAUCUCGGACGUUAUAUUGCGGUUCCUGUUCGAAUACGUACAAUUAAUUAUCUUUGCAAUGGCAUAUGUAUGGUGGCGUUUUCUUUUUAAUAUGUGCGAAAGGUGAAAACUGCUCAGACGGAUCAGGAACUGAGAUGGUUGUCGCCAGCUGGAUAGGGCUUGUCCUGCUGGAAACGGUUGCCCAUCGUCAGGGAGAGCUAAUGCCAGCCUUGUCCAAACAUUAUUGGACAACCGACAUUGUGCAUUUCAGAAAGCAGGUCCGUGCUACGCGCCCACAGCUUGUGCCGAGGCUAACUGGGUUAGGAUGGGAUCCUUGACAGUUAACUUGGACCAAGUUAUGGACGACUACAUGCUCUAGGAUAAAACCCAUAGGAGGAUCGACAAUUGUUUGCAGUUGUUAGAGGGAUGUCGCGGUAAUAGGCGAAAGGCAAGCUCGCUCGGUAGAACUUCCUUUGCCAACUUGGGAAGAGUGGCGAGGUAGAGAAAAGCGGUUAAUUCAGUGUCUGGCUCCCAGGGAGAGGGGGUGGGAACAGUGUCACCCUAUUAACUUUGACGAAUUCACAGGUAUUGAUAAAUUAUCAAAUAAUCACCUGACUGGGCUUGGAACGACACGCUGGCCCCGAUUCUUGUUGUUGCAUGUGUGCGAGUGUACAGACAAAUGGUUCAUUAUAUGGAUAUUUGUGUUGACUAUAAUGUUGAUGAUGAUGCAUUCGUUGUGUGCGAUGUUUAUUAUUACUAUUGAAGGUAUUUCUAUGCGGAAGUUGCCUGCACCUGUAGAUAUGUCAUCUUUCGCUCGCACGCUCUCUCGUUCACACACACACACAGCAUGGUAGAGUAGUUGAUCAUUACUGUAGUCUAGUAAACAUGUCAACCUGGAUCCAGUGCCCAUCGGUUCUUGGCUCGUUAUACAGUCGUCUCGCUGGUGGGCAAUGGCACCACUGAAGGUAACCAUGGUUGCGCGGUGACACGAAGGACCCUGGUCGUGCUCGGCGACUGCAGUUUGGGGGAGGGGAGGGAGAACUGGUUGUAGGUGGUAGGUUUUAGUGCUCAUCGCUCCAGCAUUGAAUGUGUGUGCCUCUGUAUAUACGUGUGACCAUGGGUAAAAUGCCACAUUUGUUUUUGUAUCCAUGCCAACGCUAUUGUCAGAACGAAUUCUCGCUGAAGAACGCGAGUACACUCUGGCUGUAGUCGUGAACCGAGAGCUACUCGUUGUCCCGGGGACAAGCGUCUUAGUUUCAUGCAGGCGUCCAGACUUGACCCCUGAGUUAGAAAGCAGUGACACUGGGGUAACAGCAAACUUUGUUCGGACAUUGUGUCCCAGCUAUGAAGACAAGUUUCUUUUCUUCCAGCGUUGACAACGACUUGCCCACGGGAGCCCGUAGUCACAAGCGAGAGUACCUAUCUGGCUUUCUCCACCUUUUUAGCAACCAGACUUCUGUACCGCGGAAUGUUCAUCAACAGGCGACUCGCGUUCACUUACAAAGAAACAUGCAAAUGUAUGUAUACCAUGGUCACACUUCCCUUACUUUCAGUUUUCAUGUUUCAGUGGGAAACUGUAACUGCUGAGUGCUGCAAUCUCUGUAUACGUACGGAAGCUGUGGCUUCUCUGUUUUUUCCUCCAAGACCGAGAAUAUGUUUGGGCGUGAUGAUUUUCUUUGUCUGGUCAUAGGACAAGUGUUUCUCUCUCUCUGAGUGCAGUAUGUCGUAUUUGUAUUUGCAACUCCUGUUGUGGUCUAACCAACAAAAAUGCAGUUUAAACGGAUGCUAUUCUUUUGUCUCAGGUCUGUGUGCACACAUCAAUGACUUUUGUAACUUUGGCACACUGUUUACUACUCACGGCUGUCUUCAGGCGUCUCGCCCUUCUUUACCUCCUGGUCAACACCUCCAAACUAGGAGCGAGGUUGAACGCUGCACCGACCUCGCUGUUACGGUCGUGUGUAAAUCCCACUGUAAACAAAUGGUAGGGGUUGUGGAAGAUUCCCAGUGGGUUGGGAAGAUUUGCCAAUUUUUGAGACAGAACUGAGGUCCUGCACACAGGAGAAGAGCGGCUAGUGCAGCGGAAAGUUUAUUAAUCGGACUAGUGACCGCUCCUAAACAUCUGUGACUAGGUACCAAGUGUUUAUUGGGAUGUAAUUGCUCUCCCUAUCUCCACCUACCCACUUUGACACGUCGACGUUUUUCUCGCGAGAUAUGGGUGGAGAGGAGGAGUGGUUGACCGGUUUUACUUAGCAUCUAAUGUUGCCCGCAGGAUUUUCUGGCCCAGUCGUUGACAGUUGGGUUGUCGAUGCUGGUGCAUGGCGGGAUCAUACUGACAUCAACUAAGGAGACAGGUGCUGAGAGAGAUGGGUGGUGACAGCCACUCGCGGUAUAAAGUGCAGAGGGAGUAUGAAGGUUGCAAUAACCUAGUAUCUCCUCCCCACCCCCAGUCCCCAAAUUAAAGUGUGAAGUCUCUACGCUCCUGUUGGUACAACAGCUGUCGUAGUGUCGCUGUGGCCUUGCGUUUAUAUGGCUGGCUGCUUACACCCAGGCCUGUUGAUGAGUUCACGGGACAUGUUUGGCUUCCCCACCCUCUCUUCUCACCCUCUUGCAGUAACCGACCUCACCCGCCGUGCCCAGUUUCUUUUUUUGGCCGCGGUCAUCGGCACGGCUUUUCCAAUAUAACAAAGGUUUGAGGAUUAAGGGAAAUUGCGACAAAAUUCCACGCGAGCGCUGAACUCGGGUCUGUUUGAUGCUUGUGCACGUGAACGGCCACUAGGUGUCCUCAUGGAGCACCUUGAAUGCCUUUUCUGUAGGCUGUCAAACCGUUUUGCAUCGGGGUUGUUUUUGUUUUGUUUUUUCCUACAGCGUAGACCUCUGGGCAGAGUCACUUUGUUCUGAAGAAAAUGAGGGGUUGGGGUGGUCUUAGAAGCGAUUUUUUUUCUUGUUUGCUCAUUCUUGCAUAACCAACCCAGAUACCUUUAAGUUCAUCGUUUGGCCGCAGUAACAUAAGCAGUUUUCUGUAUCACCACCUUCACCAUCACCUGCUGCUUUGACCGCCCAACAGCCUCACAUGUCUUACCUGGCAGGUUUUGGUCCCCUCCCCCGUGCUGUGAGGUUGACGGGAAACUAAAGUUGUGGAGAGAAGUUAGAACACCUUCCUUGCGGCGUUUUCUCAGUAGUCUCUGUAUCUGUACUAGCCGUUAUGUUUUGUUCAUUUGGCACGUUGCUGGUAAGCCAACCCUCUCCCCUCUUGUUUCCAAGUGACUGUGCCAAGACAAGGUUGUAUAUAUACUAGGAGCAAAAGGGAAAAAAGAGACGAUGAAAAUGAUAAUCUGUUUGGCGUUGGAGAUUAAAAACCAGAUUUCUACCAUG
rnacentral:misc_RNA from 1 species